rnacentral:rRNA from 1 species
GAGUUUGAUCGUGGCUCAGAACGAACGCUGGCGGCAUGCCUAACACAUGCAAGUCGAACGGAUGCAGCAAUGCAUCAGUGGCGGACGGGUGAGUAACGCGUGGGAAUCUACCCAGAUCUUCGGAACAACUGAGGGAAACUUCAGCUAAUACCGGAUACGCCCUACGGGGGAAAGAUUUAUCGGAUUUGGAUGAGCCCGCGUUGGAUUAGCUAGUUGGUGGGGUAAUGGCCUACCAAGGCGACGAUCCAUAGCUGGUCUGAGAGGAUGAUCAGCCACACUGGGACUGAGACACGGCCCAGACUCCUACGGGAGGCAGCAGUGGGGAAUAUUGGACAAUGGGCGAAAGCCUGAUCCAGCCAUGCCGCGUGAGUGAUGAAGGCCUUAGGGUUGUAAAGCUCUUUCAGUAGGGAAGAUAAUGACGGUACCUACAGAAGAAGCCCCGGCUAACUUCGUGCCAGCAGCCGCUGUAAC